rfam:Ictidomys tridecemlineatus contig035832, whole genome shotgun sequence.
GUGUUCAUUCUGGCAGUAUAUAUACGAAGAUUGAAAUCAUUCAGAAAAGAUUAGCAUGGUUUGCAUAAGGAUGACAUGCAAACUUAUGAAGUGUUCCAUAUGAAA